CGCUCUUGAAACUACAUAAGAGGUCCAGCCUGCCCAGUGACUAAGUUCAACGGCCGCGGUAUCCUAACCGUGCGAAGGUAGCGUAAUCACUUGUUCUUUAAAUGAGGACUAGUAUGAAUGGCACCACGAGGGUUAUGCUGUCUCCUUUUUCUAAUCAAUGAAACUGAUCUCCCCGUGAAGAAGCGGGGAUAUAUCUAUAAGACGAGAAGACCCUAUGGAGCUUUAAAUCAUGUAACACUGGCUUUCACAUUAAAAUAUUCCAGAAUUUUCAUAAUUACUCUAGCCACUAUGAUUACUAGUUUUAGGUUGGGGUGACCACGGAGCAAAAAUUAACCUCCAUGUUGAACGGAGCUACUCCUGAGCCAAAAGCCACGACUUUAAGCACUAAUAAAUUAACAUUAAUUGACCCAAUAUUUUUGAUCAACGAACCAAGUUACCCUAGGGAUAACAGCGCA
rnacentral:rRNA from 1 species